AGGCCUCUAGCUCAAUUGGCAGAGCAGCGGUCUCCAAAACCGCAGGUUGAGCGUUCGAGUCGCUCGGGGCCUGCCA
rnacentral:tRNA from 1 species